UGAGGGAAGCCAGGACUGAUGGCCAGCGAGGAGGCGGCCGUGGGGGUCCACGUGGAGGAGCUCGCGGACGUGGGCGUGGACAUGGGUUUAACCAAGAAUUUACUGAUGAUGGGAAUGCUUUUGGCAGCAAUAAUGGAUUCUCUGGGCGGUAUAGUGCUCCAGAAGAUGGAGAAUCAGGAAAGGUUUCUGAAAGGAGAGGUGGAUAUGGUGGAUCUCGUGGGGGGUUCCAUGGAGGUCGUCGUGGUGGUUUCAAUAACGGGGAUGCUGCAGAAGGAGAAGGGGAACGCCCAAGGAGAGUGUUUGAUCGACGAAGUGGAACUGGCCGUGGGUAAGUGAUUCUGCUAUUUUUGAAAUCCACGCAAGUGCAUUUCACUGUUCCCUUUGUUGGUUGUUGAAUAGCUCUAAGUCGUGCUUAUUGUGGUUGUCUUUGUUUCUUGUGCAUAUGUCUGUAUCUUUAUUGAUCUGUUUUGUUGUCUAGGAAUGAGUUUAUUAAACGGGAGGGCUCUGGUCGUGGGAAUUGGGGAACUACUGCAGAUGAUAUUGCACCGUGAGACUGUCAUCUCAACCUUUUGUUUCUUUAUUGCCGUUGGCUAUGUAUUAAUUUUUUCUUGUAGUUUAAUGUUGGUUUUUAAUCCAAAUUCAGGGUGACUGAAGAAUCUGUUAAUGAUGGUGAGAAGAUUGUCGAUGCUGAGAAACAAUCUGGACAGGAAGAUGCUGGAGACACCAAUAAGGAUUCUUCUGCUGCUGAGCCAGAAGAGAAGGAACCUGAGGAGAAGGUAACUGUUAUCCUGGUGAAGAUCAUUAUUUGUUUUGCUUGCUUACAUGCCCUAAUUCUACUGUUGCAAAUGUCACAGCAUUAUCAUCCUUUUUGUUGAACUCCUGGACUGCCAUUGAAGAAGUUUUAUGUACACUUUUCAACAAAUAAUAUAUAUUUAUUAAAGAAAAUUUCAUCUCAUACCAACUCUAAAAUCCUCCGCAAGUCUCGAAAAUGAAAUUCAGUAAAACAAAUUGAACUUCAAACUCAUAAAUGAUUUUUGCUUAUUGAGUAAUUCUAUUUGCAUUUUUCAAGCAAGUAGUUUAAUGCAUUCUUCGUCCCUUCGGGGACAUCCGAUAAAAAAGUUCAAUGCAAUCAUCCGCCACCAUCAAAAUGACAUGCAAGUCAUACCAACUUGCUAGUGUUAGUUGCAUGUUUCCAGCUGUUUUUAUUCAUGUGUAUCUAUGAUCACUAUCCAGGACUAUUAAUUAUUCAUCUCUGCUUGUGUUGUAGGAGAUGACCCUCGAAGAGUAUGAGAAGGUAAUGGAAGAGAAGAGGAAGGCUUUGGUGGCUCUAAAGCAAGAGGAAAGAAAGGUUAAUUUGGACAAUGAACUUCAAUCCAUGCAACUUCUCUCAAACAAGAAGAAUGAUGAUGAGAUCUUCAUCAAAUUGGUGAGUUAUUUAGUGCUUGCUGCUAUUAUAUUUUGAUUGCUCUAUUAGGAACUUGAUUGUGUUGUAUGCUGGUAUAUUCAUCAUGCUUGAAAUUUUAUGUCUGGGCAGGGUGCUGAGAAAGAUAAGAAAAAAGAAGCAGUGGAAAAAAACAAAAAGGUACUUUAGCUUCUUUUUUUAAAGUGGCUGUAUUGGUAUUAUAGCAUCAUUUCUUUAUGCAUUUUUUGAGAAUCACUUCCAUUUCAAUAACUCUUUAUUUGUCAAAAGUUAUCCACACACUGCCUACCACAAUCAAGGAGACUUUGUUCCACAACCGUAUCAAAAGCCUGCACUUUAUCAGUUCCAACUCUAUCAGUUAAAUAACUCAUCACCAUUCUACAUCCAACAGGGGCGCAUAGCUGGCCCCCAUCCAUUUCCCUCUUGCGAUACUUCUUCGCUAUUGGUCUUUUGCCUGUUAUUAGCCUUGGAUGGAAUUCGCCCUGCAAGCACAAGCCCCUCCUAACAGAGAAAAAUUGUCUUUUCUUUUUAUACCUUUAGAAUUCCGGAAAAUAAAUUCGAGUAAAUGCUCUUUUAGACUGGAAGGUCAACCUCCACCCAUACUGACAACACCAACAUAAUUGUAAUAUCAUGUAUACAGUUAUGUUGGUGUCAUCAUUAUAAUUUUCCUCUAUGUAGUGUAUACAAGUUUUUGCAGGUUCAGUACUAUUGUACUCCCCAACUGAGUACACAGUUAUGCUGGUGUCAGUAUUUUACUGUUCCUUUUUCAGAAUGCUUUGUCAUUCCUUGUUUAGUAUUUUACUAUGGUUUCCUCACUCCUGUUAUUUUCUUGAGCGGCGUGUCUAUCGGAAUCAUAUCUACGUGCCAAGUUAUUGCAUAUUGGUUUUCUUUUUCACAUGAAGAGGGUGAAAGUUUACACUUCAGUAGGACCCCAUCUUGUAUAAUAUUCUAAAGACAAGACAUUGAUCCACGAAUGGGUUUGAGUUCAAUAAAUUUAAUUACUGUUUCAAUUGUGAGGCUUGAUACAUUCAAUUUCUUGCAGACAAAAAGCAUAAAUGAGUUCUUGAAGCCUGCUGAGGGAGAAAGUUACUAUCGCCCUGGUGGCCGUGGUAGGGGCCGUGGCCGUGGAAGAGGUAAUGGCGGUGGAUAUGGUGGAAUCAACAGUGUUUCAUCCCCAUCCAUUGAAGAUGUUGGUCAAUUCCCCUCCCUGGCUGCUAAGUAAGGGAGCAAGGCCUGCAUGGAUUAGGAAAAAAAGGAAGCAAAAGCAACUGUUGUCGUCUGAUCCGUCUUCCUUUUUCCGCCAUUUAUGAUAUUUCCCGGAACCUUUGGGCAUAUUUGUAUUAGAUUUUUUUUUUUUGGAAACUUCAUAAUUGUUCUUUAGAGUAUAGAUUUAGAUGUUUUCUGAAGGUGUAUGCCCUGGGUUUUUGUUGACUUCUUUUAUACAUUUAUGAAAACCCUUUUCCUUCAUAUUUAGGUGUCAGGCUUUAAUCUUUUAUUUUCUUGUUUACUUGGCAAAUCAGUUUUGAUUGGAGUUUAUUUUAAGACAAUUACAUAUGUUUCUCUUUUUCAAUUAUUAAACGUCAUCGUCCCAUAGAAACAAUCUCUCUACCUCCACAUGGUUUGUGUACACUCACUUCUCAAAUGUUGGGUUAAGGUUUGUGUACACUCUACUUCUCAAAUGUUAGGUUCAUGGUAUGUUGUUGAUGUCUAACUCACUGUAUGGUAGUAAUUGUUGAGAAUCUCAAAAUAUUUAAUAUUGAAGUGAAACUGAUCCAAGUAGAGUAAAAUUGAUAAUGAGGAUUCAUAUAAUUGAUCCUUGCUGGUAAUUGAGGUGUUUUCUGCUUAAUCUGAACAUGGUGUAAUAAAGUCAUUUUAUGAACUUAAAAGAGAAAUGACAUAAUGUUACAAGAGUGACUCAUGCACAAAGAUUUAUAUUUUCUGGUUACAAAUUCAAUAUUCUACCAGCAAGAAUAUUUGGUCCUUUUAUUUGGUAUUUUGAAAGUCUUAUCAUGCAAUAAUUGCAAAAGAUAUACGGAGUGUAAAUUCAAGUCUUUUUACUUAAAUUGUGAUGUCGUCGAGUUAGAAGGGAUGAAUCUCUAUUUAUAUUGUUAUUAAAAAUAUAAAUCUACAAGAGAAAUGAUUAGCCAAAUAAGAAAGAGCAAAGUAUUAAACUUUUGAACUUGACGCAAAUUAUUAGUUUCGUUUUAGAAAUAUUGAUAGCUAUAAAAAUACUCUCUACUUGACUAAAUAAAUUUAGAUACACUUUCGAUUUGUGACAUAGUAGGUGAUUUCAAACUCUUGUAGGAGCAUAGAACUUUUAUUAAAAAGUCGAGAUAAAUGUUGAAAGCACUCUUAAACUUGGUGAGAAUUUAGAAGUGUAUAAGGGUGUAUUUAAGUUUAGUUAGUCAAGUAAAGAGAUGUUUUUGAGAUUGUCAAUAGUUUGGAGAUGAAACCAACAAUCACGCCGAGUUUAGAAGUGUUUUUUAAUACUUCUCUCAAUAAGAAAAUCAUGGAAAACAUAUAAUAUCUUGCAUCCUAUCAAAGGAGGAACACAAGUUCAAGAAUUGCUUCCAAACAAAGAAGUAGUUGUUACAAAAGAGCAUUUUGUUGUACUAUUUUUUUAUGCGGAAAUUUGUUUGUUUUUUACCAUCGUGUAGUUUGAUUGAUCAACCAAGCCCGCGCUCCAGUAUAUGGACAAAAGGAUCCUAUUUUUAGGAUUCAAGAUGCAACUUAUGAUCAUUUUUAAUUUAGCAAUAAAACUUUCUAUACAAGUUCAUCUACUGAAACUCUUGAUUUGAAGAUUACAUAAAUAUUUGUUUUACGAUAAAUCCUAUAAGAAUUUCAAGGAAAAAUAUAUAUUUUUUAAUUACAAGAAUGUGGUGAUUUUAUUUUGGACAAAUUAUGCAAAAUGUCAAUCUAUAAGGUUUAUUUACCAUUUUUUUUUACCUCAAUUUAUUUAUUUACUUAAAAUGGCCAUUCGAUCCUAAUUUUUCUUUAAAAAAUGGCCGUCUGCGCUACAUCUUCUUCUUUGUUUUCUUUCUUAUGUUGUUGUUGGUGCUACUUCCUCCUCCUUCAUCUUCCAUUAAAUUUGAUAUACAAAAAAUGUGAAUCGCUUCAAGCGGAUUAUAUAUCAAAAGGCUUGAAAUAUUGAGAGAAUUUGAUAUCUAAAUUUUAGAAUUGUUUAAAAGUGAUUUUGAGUUAAUCGAGAUUGAAUAAAUAAUAUAUAUUUCAUGUAUGGUAGAUGUAUACUAAACUAUAGAUAAGUUAUAUUUCAAAUAUAUCCCAUAUAUAAGUAAGUUAUAGUGUAUAGUUAUUAUAUACUAUCUAUGACUUUUGAUUACUUAAAGUUAAGGGUAAGAUAAAGGGUCAGACAUGGUGGAGUAUGAGCAUCCACUCGACAAUCUUUUUGGCUUGACUAAGAAGUCUUAUGUCCUUCGAGUUGCACAUGCACCUCAUCUUCUCAUUUGGUCGUUGUUCAUUUCCGUUAGGUCGAAGUGUUUGGCCUAUCCUUUUUUGUGCCCGCUCAGAAUUCGUGCACUAACGACAACUCCAAACUUUACACAUUCGCUGCCUACCUACCGUUUAGAUUGCACCAACGAAAUCCAGUAAAGAAGUGUUGCUGCUGCUCCACUCCGCUGCGCUGCGAUUGAUUAUUUUUUAUAUAAAUAAAAUAUGACUAUUGUAAAUCAUGUAAUUACUUUAUUGUAUAUAUUUUAAAUUUAAAAAAACAAACAAACCACAGCCCGGGCCCAUACCCAAAACAUACACUUGAACCUUUCCUCAAACCCCACCCCCUUAACCCCACCAACCCCCCCAACCCCCACACCACCAUAUCUAGGGUUUUUAAGAUUCGGUUCACUUCACUUCCUCAAUUAUCAGCCGCUCUGGCUAGGUUUUCACACUACCCACAAAUUUGUUUCUCUUCAAAAUACCCACAAAUUCAUCUUCGCAUGGAUUUUAAUCUAUAGGGGUUUCUUGAUUUAUUGAAAAAAUUCGGUUCUUUGCAUCACUCUCUCUAUAUAUCUGUUUAGGAACUCCGAGAAGAGUGAAAAAAAUGGCUACUUUGAACCCAUUCGACCUUUUGGAUGAUGAUGCUGAGGACCCAAGUUUGCUAGUUGCUGCUCAGCAGCUAAAGGCUCCUGUUGCAUCUGCACCAGCCAAGAAGGGUCCAGUUCAGCCUACUAAGCCUGCUGCUAAGUUGCCCUCCAAGCCGGUUCCUCCUUCUCAGGCUGGUAAAUAUUCUAUCUUUGAACAUUUUUGUGAUUUUGGGUAGGUGUAUAUUCAUUCAUAUUGUUAAAGCGUUCAUGAAUUGAGCUUAACUAAUGUAGAUUGUUCAUAUAGCUGACCCAAUUUGUUUGGAUUGAGAUUAGUAGUUCUUAUUUUUGUUGUUGUUGCUGUUGUUGUUGUAUAAAUGGUAAUAUAUCUUUUUAAACUGGAACGAAUGGAGCUGAGCUAGUGUAGAUGGCUCAUAUAUCUGACCCAUUUAUUUUGGAUUGAGCUAAUUGGAUUGAGAUGUAGAAGUUCUUAGUUUUAUUGCUUUUGUUGUUGUUAUAGUAGUAGUUGUAAUGCUAAUAUAUCAUUCAUAAUGGAGUAAUUUUUGAACAUUUUUGUGUUGUGACUUUAUACUUUUUGGUGUUUGGGGUUUAUAUUUCAUGUGGAACUGAGCCAAUUUUGAAUAUUGCUGAUUCUAUUAGUUUGUAUUGAUUAGUACUAAUAUAUCAUGGCUAAUUAUUUUUAGACAUUUUUGUGUUUUGAGUUGAUGCAUAUUUGUUCAUACUUUUUUGUAUUUUUGGGUGUUCUGUGUAGGGUAUCGGGUACUAUAUGAGGAAAAAGAUCAAGUUGUGUAGAAAAUUGAGUAUGCUAAUAUAGUAUGCUAUACUAUUUUUUGUGUUUCUGGGUUCAUAUUAAAACCAGCACUAACAGGGCUGAACUCAUGUAGACAGUUCAUAAAGGUGUCCCAGUUAGUUUUGAUUGAGAUGUAGUAGUUCUUAUUUUUAUGGCCAUUGUUGUAGUAGUAAUGGUAAUAUACCAUUCCUAAUCAUUUUAAAACAUUUUGGUUUCCUAGUUUCAUGUAUACAUAACUUUAUUGUAUUUUUGGGCUUGUACUGAAAUCGACACGAAUGGAGCUGAGCUAGUAUAGAUGGUUCAUAUCGCUGAUCCAAUUAGUUUGAAUUGAGAUGUAGAAGAUACUUUUUUUUUGUUGUAGUAGUGAAUGUAUAUGGCUUUUAUAAUAAGUUAUGCUGUAAGGUAUUGAGUAUCAUUUGAUUGGUGAGGAAAACGAUCAAGUGUGUCUAAAAUUGAGUUUGUUUGGUACUAUUCCGUUUCUAAUCAUUUUAAGACAUUUCUGUGCUUGGGUUCUUGUAUAUGCAUUCAUACUUCUGUUUUGUAUUUUUUGGGUUCAUAUGUUGUAUGUAACCAACACGAAUGGGGAGCUGAGCAAAUGUAGUAGAUUCAUAUAGCUACCCAGUUAGUUUGGAUUGAGAUGUAGUAGUUCUUAUUUUUCUUCUUGUUGUAAUAGUGAAUGAAUAUGGCAUUUUGUAAGAAGCGUUUGUUGAAGUGUGGAGUAUUAUAUGAUUGGUGAGGAAAAAAUAUCAAGUGUAGAAAAUUCAGAUUUUUUUUUGCCUUAAAUGAGAAUACAUGCUAUUUGCAAGGUGAUGCUUGUCUUCAUCUUCUCUUUCGUUGUCUAUUCUCUUGCUACAUGAAGUAUUUAUCUUGGAAAUGUUGCUUUUAUCUUCCCAAUGUGACACUUUUAGGGCUUAGGCUAUAGAAAUAUAUGAAAUUAAUUUAAGUUACUUGCUUAAACUUUUAGGCUAUAAAAAACAGUUAUUCAAUUAUGCAUCAAUCCAGGAUUAGUUGGGAGUCGGAAUCAAACUUCUAGGCUAUAAUGUGGAAUUAGUGGUAGGUUUCUCAAUGUUUUUUUUUUUUAUGACAAUGGAAACCCGCAGCCGCUACCCUUUGGGUGCGCACAGGGUAAAAACCCCGCUCCUAUGCAAUAGCUUGCAAACCACAUAGGAGAGGUAACCCGCACUAGGCAAGCCCGGUGCGACGAGCUCGACCCAUAAGGCAAACCCCUUGCUUUCGCUGGCAAGAGGUUUCGAACUUGAGACCUCCAACAUAGAAGUCCCAAGCCUAAACCACUGGGCCACCCCGAAGGAUAUAGGUUUCUUAAUGUUUACGCAGUUAUUUUCUGUCUUUUAUUUAGUAAAUAUGAUCCUGCACAAAUGGAAGGGAAGAUAUUUUCCCCUGUGAUUGUGGGAUUAAAGUACGGUUAUUUGUGUGACAGUUUAUAAUAAUCUCUUGUAGAAAACGUCAUUCUUGUGUUUCCUGAUUGGUCCCUCUAUUUGAUGUGUCAUAUUUGGUGUUGUUGCUCUUGUGUUUAGUAGGAUUAUAUUUCUAUAACUGGCAAGUAAACUCUUUGGACUUUGCUGCUCUUUAGUUUUCCUUUAUUGUAGUUCAGUAUUCAUCUGUUGUGAAUCAACUUCUAGGUCACAUAUCGAGUUUCUUUAUACCUGUUUCAUGUGUUAUACUACAGAUGUUUUCAUUAAUAGGACUCCCUCUAUUCCAUAUCAAGUGAACUAUUGGGACUUUUUUCGUAGUUCAAAAUGAGUGAAUUGCUCAAAGUUAAAGAAAAUUGUUGGGAUUUUUUUUCUUUCAUAUUUACCCCUCAUUUAAUGAGGUUCUUAACUACUAUACAUUUUCUAGGAGAAUAGUUUGGGAAUUAUCAGGAAGGGUAAUAGUGGAAAGUAGCCUUUAAUUUUUGUCCUUAAAUAUUUUUCUUUAGGGGUGUGCCAUACCCCAACAAUUCAUUUACAUGGACCAGAGGGAGUAUCCAUAGCUUAUCUGUGUAUUAAUUUUUUUGAGCAGUGAGGGAAGCCAGGAGUGACGGCCAGCGAGGAGGUCGUGGGGGUCCACGUGGUGGAGCCCGUGGUCGUGGGCGUGGACGUGGGUUCAACCAAGAUUUUGCUGCUGAUGAGAAUGCUUUUGGCAGCAAUAAUGGAUCCUCUGGGCGGUACAGUGCUCCAGAAGAUGGAGAAUCAGGAAAGGUUUCUGAAAGGAGAGGUGGAUACGGUGGAUCACGUGGGGGGUUCCAUGGAGGUCGUCGUGGUGGUUUCAAUAACGGGGAUUCUGCAGAAGGAGAAGGGGAACGCCCAAGGAGAGUGUUUGAUCGACGAAGUGGAACUGGCCGUGGGUAAGUGAUUCUGCUAUUUUUGAAAUCCACGCAAGUGCAUUUCACUGUUCCCUUUGUUGGUUGUUGAAUAGCUCUAAGUCGUGCUUAUUGUGGUUGUCUUUGUUUCUUGUGCAUAUGUCUGUAUCUUUAUUGAUCUGUUUUGUUGUCUAGGAAUGAGUUUAUUAAACGGGAGGGCUCUGGUCGUGGGAAUUGGGGAACUACUGCAGAUGAUAUUGCACCGUGAGACUGUCAUCUCAAUUUUUUUGUUUCCUUAUUUGCCCUUGUCUUUACAUAUCAAGAUUUUCUUAUAGUUUCAAUGUUGGUUUUUAAUCCAAAUUCAGGGAGACUGAAGUACCUGUUAUUGAUGGUGAGAAGAUUGUUGAGGCUGAGAAACAAGCUGGACAGGAAGAUGCUGGAGACACCAAUAAGGAAUCUACCGCUGCUGAGCCAGAAGAGAAGGAACCUGAGGAGAAGGUAAUUGCCAUUUCCUGGUUACGACCAUUGUUUUGCAUGCUUACAUCCCCUAAUUCUGCUGUUGCAAAUUAAUAUCCGUGUCAUGUCAUUAUUAUCCUCUUGGGUGGGCUUUUUUUUGGGGGGGGGGGGCUAUGAAACGUAAAUUCAAAAUUGAAUUCCUGGACUGUCUCCUUGUCGAUUAAAUUAGUUUGGACGAGUAAUACUGGUUCAGUUUAAUUUUUCGAAACCAGAACUGGCUUUUAUUUACUGUCGAUAAAUUCUUCAACAUUAUCCCAGUUUUUUCUAUGGUAGUUUAAUACGUUCCAAUAGACCAGGAGCUAAAAAUGAUGUGUUGCUUGUAUUCACAUGUAAGAUUAAGUGGCCAUCCUAUGAGCUUUGUAUUUGUAGUUUGCUACUCAUGCAUUUGAAGGUAAGUGGAGGAAUUUGGAAUUUCAGAAUUAUCAUUGUCUUCUAACAGAUGAUUCUACAUAUCAAUUGGCAGAUACCUUACUCUACAAUUAUUAGCUCCCUCUUUGCCCAUUUGCCGAAAUGGCCUUUGUGGGGUGGGGGUGGUGGCAGUGUAGAAUAGUAGUGAAAGCCAACUUGUUGAAGUAGGAUGCAUCGACUUUAAAGUAGCUGUUUAUUGUUUUUCCAUUUGGGAACACCAUUAUCUUUUCUGACUUUAUGCCCUCAUUCUUGACUAAAAUAUAAUAACCACUUACUGCUCAGGUUGUUUCAUUUACAACUCACUGUUUCUUUUUAAUAACCACUUGCAAAUAUUUCUAUGAAAUAGUUAUGAACUUUAACUUAUGUUUUCUGGUAGACUAGCUACUUCUUACGUUGAUUAGUAUACGUGGAAUAACUUUUUGAUAGCUAUUUAAUUACUAUGUUGUAGCUAGUGGUAGUUGCACGAUUCCAGUUGUUUUUAUUCAUAUGUGUCUAUGAUUACUAUCCGGAAUCAAUUAUUCAUCUCUGAUUGUGUUGUAGGAGAUGACCCUCGAGGAGUAUGAGAAGGUAAUGGAAGAGAAGAGGAAGGCUUUGGUGGCUCUAAAGCAAGAGGAAAGAAAGGUUAAUUUGGACAAAGAACUUCAAUCCAUGCAACUUCUCUCAAACAAGAAGAAUGAUGAUGAGAUCUUCAUCAAAUUGGUGAGUUGUUUAGUGCUUGCUGCUAUUAUAUUUUGAUUGCUGUCUUAGGAACUUGAUUGUGUUGUAUGCUGGUAUAUUCAUCAUGCUUGAAAUUUUGUGUCUUGGUAGGGUGCUGAGAAAGAUAAGAAAAAGGAGGCAGUGGAAAAAACCAAAAAGGUACUAAAGCUUCUUUUUUAAGUGGUUAUAUUUGGUAUUAUAGCAUCAUUUCUUUAUGUGUUCCUUGGGAAUCCAUUCUGUUAUAUAAACUCUUUUAUUUGUCUAAUGUUAUGUACCUAGAAGGGUCUUUGCUUGAGGGGAGAGUAAUCCAUCCUGCCGCCCUGCAAGCGCAAGCCCCUCCCAAUAAAAAAAAUGUGUUUUAUUUUGGACAUUCAGAAUUCUGGAAAAGUAGAUGCUAUUUUAGAUUGGAAGGUCAACCUCCACUCAUACUUCAACAGCUGCAAAGAAACCUUUUUCUUCCCGUGAUUGUAUUUUCAAUGAAAAAUGGAAUAGGGAAGUAAUAUCAUGUAUUCAAAUGUGGUGGUGUCAUUAUUAUAAUUUUCCCCAAUAUUGCAUAUGCAUUUAUGCAGUGUCAGUAUAUUAUAAUUUGUGGUUUCACCACAAUAUCGUUUUAAUUUUAAAAUCAUUGCAUGCUGUUUUUCUUUUUUCUAAAGAGAUGACAUUGAUCCACAAAUGUUUUCGUGUUCAAUGCAUUUAAUUACUGUGUCAAUUGUUAGGCUUGAUUCAUUCAGUUUCUUGCAGACCAAAAGCAUAAACGAGUUUCUGAAGCCUGCUGAGGGAGAAAGUUACUACCGCCCUGGUGGCCGUGGUAGGGGCCGUGGCCGUGGAAGAGGUAAUGGCGGUGGAUAUGGUGGAAUCAACAGUGUUUCAGCCCCAUCCAUUGAAGAUGUUGGUCAAUUCCCCUCCUUGGCUGUCAAGUAAGGGAGCAAGUCCUGCAUGGAUUAGGUAAAAAAGGAAGCAACUUUUGUCGUCUGAUCUGUCUUCCUUUUUCCGUCAUUUAUGAAAUUUGGGAUUUGAUGAUAACAUAAUGUUUCCUGGAACCCUUUGGUUUUCCUGUAUUAGAAUUUUUUUUUGCUAACUUUAUAAUUGGUCUUUAGUGUAAAUUUAGAUGGUUUCUGAAAGGUGCAUGUCCUGGUUUUUUGUUGAUUUUUUUUUAUACGUUUAUGAAAACCCUUUUCCUUCAUAUUUAGGUGUUAGGCUUUAAUCUUAUACUUUCUUGUUUACUUAUCAAAUUAGUUUUGGUUGGAGUUUAUAGAAACAACAAUUAUGUUUAUUUUUCAAUAACGAUGUCUAACUCUAUCCCUCGGAAACAAUCUCUCUACCUCCACAAGGAAGGGGUAAGGUCUGUGUAGACUCUACCCUACCCUUCUCUGACCUCAAUUGUAGGAUUUACUGUGUAUGUUGUUUUACGUCUCAACUCAUUGUACGUUAGUUGUCGAGAAUCUCAUAAUAGAUCCUUGCUUAGCUUGAAAUUGAUAUGAGUUGAAUUUUUUUCUGCUUAGUUAGACUCUUCAUUGACAAAACUCUAAUAUUGUCUCUAGAUUGUGUGAUGUUUUGAAAAAAUUAUCGACGUCUCUUUACCUGAUUUGUUUUUAUACUGUGUAGGAUUAUGUUGAUCAGCGUGAGCUAAAAGUUGGAUGCCAGUUUUGUAACAUUUUUGGUUAUUUUUUCUUUCUUUCUGAUUUUGGUUAUUGUUGUUGAACAUGGUGUAAUAUCAUCAUUUUUAUGAACUUAAUAGUAGAUGAUAUAAUGUUACAAGAAUGGUUCACUCAUAUUUUCUGGUAACAAAUUCAAUAUAUUCUUCUAGGAGGAAUAUCUGGUCCUUUUAUUUUGUAUAUUUUGAAAGUCUUAGUCAUGCAGUAUUGCAAAAGAGAUGGGGUGUUUUAGGGAUUGUAAUCGUUUUUAUUUAUAGAGUUAUAAACCUUUUUCUACGAGAUAAAGGAUCAAGUAGAUUCUGAAAAUUGUGCUUUUCUGUUGGGUAAAAGAAAAAUCCAAUCAUGUUAAGAAAAUGAUGGCAAACAUCCAAUUAAUGAUUGCUUCCCCUUUUCUAACGAAGGAGUAGCCCUUAUUGAAGAGGGUUUUGUCUUGUUGGUUUUCGAAUGCAAGUUUUAUUUUGGCCAUUGUAGUUUGAUUGAUCAACUAAGCCUGUUCAUGGACUAAAGUAUCCUAUUCUUAAGACUCAUAGAUGCAACUUAUGACAAUCUUAUAUAUCUAAGUUAAAUAACUAUAAUUUAUUUAAUUAUGAUUUGUUGCUACAUGUUAGAAUGUAUAUAUGUAAUUAUUAGUAUAUAUAUGUAUCAAUGAUUGUAUUUGUAUAUUUGUUAGAUAAUUAUAUAUAUGUAAUAAGUAGGGAAAACUAACUCAUUAAACAUACAUACAUACUAUGUAUAAUAAUUUUACCUAUACUUCCAAAUAAUUAAAUAUUUUAUCACUAAUUAAUCAUUUCCUACCAUAUAUUGAGAAGAAACAUCUAGAUACAUGAAUUUGUGUUAUCAGAUAUCCUAAAUUAAGGAGAGAGACGACGAGAUGAGGAGGAAGGUGAGCGAGAUAGUCACCUGAUACAUGCGAAUCACACCAUAUACACACUAGCUACAUGUAUUUGGUGUGAUUCAGAUGUAUCUGAGAUAGAAGAUACAGAGGAGAGCGACGAUCGAGAUAGCAGGAAGGUGAAUGAGAUUUCUUAUGUAUCGCAGCAACAUGUGAAUCCACCUCAAUACAAUGUAUCUAGAACAAUUUAUACCUAUUUUUAAACUCAUUUAUCUCGAGAUACAUGUAUCUGAUUGCACUAAAAUCUAUUAAAAAUUAUAAUACUGUAAAUUAAAAUGUUUCUAAGUAAUUAAGAAAUUUCUGUAAGUUUCCCUAAUAAGCAUGAAUACCCAUCAAUGAAAUACGAUUAUAUUUAGACAAAACUAAAGGCCCAAGAAACUUCAACAAACAAACCACAGCCCGGCCCAUACCCAAAACAUACACAUAACCUCCGCACCCCCACCAUAUCUAGGGUUUUUAAGCUUCCGUUCACUUCAGUUCUUCAAUUAUCAGCCGCUUUGGUUAGGUUUUCACAAUACCCACAAAUUUGUUUCUCUUCAAAUUUACCCAUAAAUUUAUCUUCACAUGGAUUUUAAUCUAUAGGGGUUUCUUGAUUUAUUGAACAAAUCGGUUCUUUGCAUCACUCUCUCUAUAUAUCUGUUUAGGAACUCCGAGAAGAGGUAAAAAAAUGGCUACUUUGAACCCAUUCGACCUUUUGGAUGAUGAUGCUGAGGACCCAAGUUUGCUAAUUGCUGCUCAGCAGCUAAAGGCUCCUGUUGCAUCUGCACCAGCCAAGAAGGGUCCAGUUCAGCCUACUAAGCCUGCUGCUAAGUUGCCCUCCAAGCCGGUUCCUCCUUCACAGGCUGGUAAAUAUUCUAUCUUUGAACAUUUUUGUGAUUUGGGUUGGUGUAUAUUCAUUCAUAUUUCUUAAUGCGUUAGGUAUUAUAUGAUAAGUGAGGAAAGAGAUCCGUGCGUGUAGAAAAAGUAGUUUUUUUUUGCCUUUAAUGAGAAUACAUGCUAUUUGCAUGGUGAUGCUUGUCUUCAUAUUCACUUUCAAUGUCUAUUCCCUUGCUGUAUAUAGUAUUUAUCUUUGUAUUAAUGGUAGGUUUCUUAAGGAUAAUGUCCUGUGAUUGUGAGAUUAAAUUAUGGUUAUGGACUUAUGGUAUAUGGGGAUUUGAUUGGCUGGAAACUGUGAUACGUCAGUCUUGGUGUUUUUUGAUUGUCUCCUCUGUCUGAUGUGUCAUAUCUUGUGUUGUUCUGUAGUACCAUAAUUCUAUAAAAGGGAAGUUAAAUCUUUGGACUUAGCUUGAGUGGCAAAAGGUGGAGGAUUUGUCGCUUAGGUCGCAGGUUCAAGCCCCACACCACACAAAGCGAAACUGGUAUUUAAGUGGAGAAGGGUAGAGGCGCGGGACCAUUAUCCACCGAGUUUAGAAGGCUGUGAUUGGUCCAAAAGGCGGGUCAUAGAUAGAUUUCUCGGUUAUCAGAAAACAAAACUGUUUGGACUUUGCUGCUCUUUAGUUUUAAACUGUUGUGAAUCAACUUCUAGAUCACAUAUCGAGUUUGUCUUUACCUGAUUCCUGUGUUGUACUACAUAUGUUUUCAUAAAUAGUACUCCCUCUAGCUAAGUUGAGCAGACUCUUUACUUUCAAAGCUGCGCCCGUGUAUUAGCCCUUUAGUUCAUAUUAAGUGAAUUACUUGGACUUUUUUCAUAGUUCAAAAUAAGUGAUUGUUUAAAGUUCAAGAUAAUUAUUGGUACUUUUUUCCCCAUGUUUACCCUUUAUUUAAUGAAGGUUCUUAACUAGUAUAAAUGGGAGAAUAGUUUGGGAAUAAUCAAAAUGUUAAUAAUAGAAAGUAGCCUUUAAUUUUUGUCCUUAAUAUUUUUCUUAAGAGAUGUGCCAUAACCCCAACAAUUGACUUAUAUGGUCAGAGGGAGUAUAUUUUUUCCCAUGGCUUAUUUGUGUCAUAAUUUUUGUGCAGUGAGGGAAGCCAGGAGUGAUGGCCAGAGAGGAGGAGGCCGCGGGGGUCCACGUGGAGGAGCCCGUGGUCGUGGGCGUGGACGUGGGUUUAACCAAGACUUUGCUGCUGAUGAGAAUGCUUUUGGCAGCAAUAAUGGAUUCUCUGGGCGGUACAGUGCUCCAGAAAAUGGAGAACCAGGAAAGGUCUCUGAAAGGAGAGGUGGAUAUGGUGGAUCUCGUGGGGGGUUCUAUGGAGGUCGUCGUGGUGGUUUCAAUAAUGGGGAUACUGCAGAAGGAGAAGUUGAACGCCCAAGGAAAGUGUUUGAUCGACGAAGUGGCACUGGCCGUGG
rnacentral:lncRNA from 1 species